AACGAACGCUGGCGGCAUGCCUAACACAUGCAAGUCGAACGAUUGCCUUCGGGUGAUAGUGGCGCACGGGUGCGUACCGCGUAGGAAUCUGCACUUAGGUUCGGAAUAACAGCUGGUAACGGCUGCUAAUACCGGCUGAUAUCGCGAGAUCAAAGAUUUAUCGCCUGAGGAUGAGCCGGAGUUGGAUUAGGCAGUUGGUGGGGGAAAGGCCUACCAAGCCGACGGUCCAUAGCUGGUCUGAGAGGAUGAUCAGUCACACUGGGACUGAGACACGGCCCAGACUACUACGGGAGGCAGCAGUGGGGAAUAUUGGACAAUGGGCGCUAGCCUGAUCCAGCAAUGCCGGGUGAGUGAUGAAGGCCCUAGGGUUGUAAAGCACGUUUACCCGGGAAGAUAAUGACGGUACCGGGAGAAUAAGCCCCGGCUAACUCCGUG
rnacentral:rRNA from 1 species